CCUGUUUGAUCCUGCUAGUAGUCAUAAGCUUGUCUUAAAGAUUAAGCCAUGCAUGUGUAAGUAUAAACUAAUUCAGACCAUAAAACUAUGAAUGACUCAUUAAAUUAGCUAUAGAUUGUCUAAUGGUAUCUACUACUUGGAUAACCAUAGUAAUUCUAGAGCUAAUACAUGCAACAAAACCUCAAUUUUUAGAAAGGAUGCAUUUAUUUGAUAAGUGGUCAACGUGGGCUUUGCUCGUUGCUUUGAUGAUUCUUGAUAACUCGAUGGAUUGCAUAACCUUUGUGCUAACGAUGUAUCAUUCAAAUUUCUACCCUACCAACUUUCAAUGGUAGGAUAAUGGCCUACUAUAGUGGUGAUAGGUGACGAAGAAUUAGGAUUUGAUUAUGGAGAGGAAGCUUAAGAAAGGGCUACCAUUUCCAAGGUAGUAGGCAUGCAAAUUACUCAAUUUUGACAUGGGAAGGUAGUGAUAAUAAAUAACAAUACUGGGCUUUAUGAGUCUAGUAAUUGGAAUGAGUACAAUCUAAAUCCCAUAACAAAGAUCCAUUGAAGGGCAAGUCUAGUGCCAGCAACCAUGGUAAUUCUAGCUCUAAUAGCAUAUAUUUAAGUUGUUGUAGUUAAAAAGCUUAUAGUUAGAACUAGGGUUGGGUCAUCUAGUCCAUCUCAAGGUAAGCAUUAAUUUACUAUUCCUUACUGUCGGUGAUGCGCUUUUGGCCUUAACUAGCUUGGUCAUUCCUUUAACACUAUUACUUUGAAGAAAAUAGAAUGCCUAAAGUAGGCCUAUGCUUAUAUACAUUAGCAUAGGAUAUCAUCAUAGGAUUUCAAUCCUAUUGUGUUACCUUCAAGAUCAGAGUAAUGAUUAAUAGAGAUAGUCAGGGGCAUUUGUAUUUCAUAGUUAGAAGUGAAAUUCUUGGAUUUAUGAAAGACGAACAACUGUGAAAGCAUUUGCCAAGUAUGUUUUCAUUAAUCAAGAAUGAAAGUUGGGGGCCUAAAAACAAUUAGAUACCAUCCCAUUCUUAACUUUAAACAAUGCUAACCAGGGAUAGAUGAAUGUUACUUUUAGGACUCCAUUAGUUGGCACUUUAUGAGAAAUCAAAGCUUUUUGGGUCUAAGGGGAGUUUGGUCACAAGGUUGAAACUUAAAGGAAUUGAUAGAAGGGCACCAUCAAAAGUGAAGCCUGCAAUUUAAUUUGGCUCAACAUAAGGAAACUUACCAAGUCCAGACAUAGUAAAGAUUGACAGACUGAGAGCUCUUUCUUGAUUCAAAGGGUGGUGGUGCAUGACCGUUCUUAGUUGAUGGAGUGAUUUGUCUGGUUAAUUUCAUUAACGAAUGAGAACUUAGCUUGCUAACUAGCUACAUAGAGGUGAUCUUUCAUGGCUAGCUUCUUAGAGGGAUUAUGGCUGCUUAGGCUAAAAAAGUUUAAGGUAAUAACAAGUAUGUGAUGCCUUUAGAUGUUCUAGGUGACACAUGCGCUACACUGAUGUAUUUAAUGAAUUUAUAGCCUUGGCCGAUAGGCCCAAGUAAUAUUUGAAAUUUCAUCAUGAUGGGGAUGGAUCAUUGCAAUUGUUCAUCUUUAACAAGUAAAACCUAGUAAGUGUGAGACAUCAGCUCACAUUGACUAUGUUUUCUACCCUUUGUACAUAUCGCUCAUCACUCUUACUGUUUAAAUGAUCUGGUGAAAUGUUCGGAUCACAUUGACAUGGAUGGUUUAUUGCCCAAAUAUUGCAAGAAGUCCACUAAACCUUAUCAUUUAGAGGAAAGAGAAGUCAUAACAAGGUUUUUGUAGGUGAACUUACAGGAG
rnacentral:rRNA from 1 species